UCCUGUGGGGGACAGCAGGAAGAAACCGUGUCAAGACCGACUGUCCGGAGUCCAAGAUAGUCACCAGCAACUCCGUGUUAGGACCCAACAAGAAGAUUGGAAUAAAGAUAGCAUUGCUGGUGAUUUUGCAAUUUGUGAGAAACUGAAAGUCAUUCACAGAUGCAUGGUAUGCCAAAGCAUUCAUGCUUGAUGUUGCCAAUGAAUUUUGACAAACCUUUGCGCAUAAAGUCAAGAUAAUCGAACAAUUAAAAGACAUGCCUCUGUCGGCCAGGCGAAUCAAACUGUAUUACAUUCACAAUUAUUGGAUGGAAGUCUCAACACCUGCAUCAGGCUUAAUCUAAUGACAUGAAAUUGACUACAAAGCCACCCACAAAAGCAUUGCAGCACAAGAAGUUGCAUUAAUGAAAAGGAGUCCUUUUGUUAGCGUUCAUUAGCAAAAGCAGAACCUUAUUUAAAAGAAUUCAGAGACUUAUUGUACUCUAAAAGUGUUGGUCUUACAUAAAAAGCUCAAAUACAAUAAAUAAAAAAAUAAAAAAUAAUGUAUGAUGCUUUUGGAAGUACAUUUUAAAACAUUUGCCAAUAUUUACACAUCCCAAAAACAUGCAUUGAUUGGAGACUCUAAAUUGCUGUGAUUGUGUGAGGUGUGAUUGUGAGUGGACUGCUGUCUGUUUCCAUGUGUUCUGCAAUUGGCUGGCAACCAGUUCAUGGUGUACCCUGCCUCCUGCCCAGUGACAACUGGGAUUGGCUCCAGCACUCACACGACCCUCGUGAGAAUAAGCGGCUCAGAAAAUGGAUUUCAAAACAUGAGGAACAGUUCUCAAAAUUUUGCAGAAGACCUGUAAAACUGACACAAUAGGAACAACGACACUAAGGUGCACAUUUAGAAUAUUUCUCCAGAAUUCGUAAGGUAUCGAAACGGAUAUUUCAUCUUUAGUUAACAAACAAAGGCGAAUCCACAGCUUUAAUCUUGCGGUUCCUUUUAAUCCCGGUGGUUGGCGCCCAUAAUAUUAACCAAGUAGUCUUCUUGGCAGGCAGGUCACUCAACUUUUUGUCAGAGAAGGAGUCUUUCGAAGCCAGGAAUCAAGAUUUGAUAUUGAGGCCCACUUGACAUCUACCAAGCAUUCUCCUAGUGGCCGUCUCACAGCAAGGCAGCAUGUGGGGAUGGAGUUAAUAAAUGGUUGACAGUCCCUAUCGCACCUCCAAUUGUGGGACAAUGUACAAGACCAAAAACUUUAAAAUGUUGUGGCGAUUGAUCUAAUACUUUAAAGGUUGAAGGAGAGAUGUUCACAUAAAUUUUGGUGAUGAUGGGUCGCAAUUUUCUGACAUUAAACAAUAUUCGGCUUUUUCUCUGUAGUGAGUGCCUAGGGAAGGAAAACAUUUCAUGUCCAUGGUGAUACAGCCAUUCAUUUCCAGAACAGCUUAUCAUCGCAAGGCUUGCUAGUCUUAGUCUAUCCCAGCAGUCAUCGGGUUGGAGGCAGAAUACACUCUGGGCACAUAGAAACAGACAACAGUCGCACUCACAAUCACACGUAGGGGCAAUUUUAGAGUGACCAAUUAUUGCAUGUUUUUGGGAUGUUGGAGGAAACAGGAGUGUUUGGGGAAAACACACGCAGGCACAUGGAGAACAAGCAGCAACAACAUGAGGCCAUAUGGCAGCAGCAUGAUGGCAAUGACCAUCAAUUUCUUGGUGAAAAAAGAUGAACAAAUCCACGAAGAAGUGCAUAUACUGUAUAAGCUAACAUUUUAUAUCACUUGAGAGGGGUUGGCCUCUGUUCCACUCUGGAGUUUCCCACAGUGAGAGAUGCCGAGCAGGUGUGGAUAUACUUAUUGCCCCACAGCUCGGGGCCUGUAACUUGGGGUUUACCCCGGUUAGUGAGAGGGUGGCUUCCCUCCGCCUGCAGGUAGGGGGACGGGUCCUGACUGUUGUUUGUGCCUAUGCACCAAACAGCAGUUCAGACUACCCACCCUUUUUGGAGUCCUUAGAGGGAGUGCUGGAGAGCGCUCCCUCUGGGGACUCCAUCAUUCUGCUGGGGGACUUCAAUGCCCACAUGGACAAUGACAGGGAGACCUGGAAGAGCGUGACUGGGAAGAACGGCCCCGCUGAUCAGAACCCAAGUGAUGUUCUGUUAUUGUACUGUUAUCUGUUAUCCGUAACGAACAACAAGCAUAAGAAUGUCCACGCACACCUGGCACCAGGACACCCUAGGUUGCAGUUCGAUGAUGGACUUUGUGGUUGCGUCAUUGGACUUCCGACCGCAUGUCUUGGACACUUGGGUGAAGAGAGGGGUGAGGCCAUGGAAAAUGACUUCUGGUCCUCCGUCUGGCAUCUCAGGAGGUGGAAGCAGUGCAUCGACAACACUGUGUAUAAUGAGGAUGGGGCACUGCUAAAGUCAACUCAGGAUGUUGUGAUUCGGUGGGGAAAAUACUUCAAAGACCUCCUCAAUUCCACCAACACGCCUCCCCAUGAGGAAGCUGAGUCUGGGUUUUCUGAGGCGGGCUCUUCUAUCUCUGGGGUUAAGGUCACCGAGGUGGUAAAAAAACUCCUUGGUGGCAGGGCCCCGGGAGUGGAUGAGAUUCGUCCGGAGUUCCUCGGGCUCUGGAGGUUUUGGGGCUGUCCUGGUUGACACGCCUCUACAACAUUGCAUGGACAUCGUCGACAGUGCCUCUGGAUUGACAGGCUGGGGUGGUGGUCCCCCUUUUUAAAGUGAUUCUAAUGUCUAAUUUUUAAUGCAAAUAAUCUUAUCUAGAUGAAAAAAUAUGUUCAACUGUACCAUAAAAUACGUAUUGUGAUAUAUGUUUUUUCCCAAAAAAUAUUAGUGUUUUUGAAUUAAAGUCUGCGAACUUUGACCUAGUUUCCAUCACCUGAAAAAAGAUUCAUUUUGGGGGCGGAGCCUCUGACGUCACUCAAGGUUCACCGGGUAUUGUGCAACUUACAUGAGCAUGGAGACUUGCUGGUUUUGAGAAUUCCUCAGUGAUUGUAAGCUAAAUCCAACCAUGACAGUGGUGAACUCGUGUGUGGUUCAGUUUUGUAGCAAUUUGAAUAAUUCUGGUCACAGUGUGCAUUAUUUUCCACAAGACCCACGGCUCAGAAGACAGUGGUAAGCAUUUCACCUGAACCUGGACACACUUCGACAAGCUUUGCCCUCCCACACAAAGGACCAAACCUGCAAUGAGCUUUUGUCAAAAGACAAUUUGCGGAGAUGUUGCAGGAAGCAUCUUCUGCAGUAGAGGUUGACAUCGAACCAGCAGAUGCAGAAUCUUCUUCUUUGGUCCAUUCCAAAAGUUGCCAGACUGAAGUGCCUGUUCAUGACGAACACAUCUUUUCGACAGCAGAGAGAAUACUGCAACAUGUAUUUCAACGUCAGGUGUUCUCAACGUACUGUUAUAGAAAGACCAAAUAAUAAUUCUGUGCUGUUAUGUAACAUUUAUACAAAAAAUAAGCAUACAGUUCAAUAA